UGUGUGUGCGCGCCCGUGUACGACGCAAGGACGAAUUGUAUACGCAAUAAAUAAUUAGGAAUCAGCAGCGGCAUUUAAGACGAUCACGUCUUGAUCGCUACAAAUGAAGCGAGGCGGCGAGAGAGAGUAGCCGGAAACCCUAAUGGAAAAGUUCCGCAGAGAGAGAGAGAGAAGGGGACGGGCGCGUUCCUCUUCUUCCAUCUUCUAUUUGGUGGUGGAUCUUCUUAUUCUUCUUCUUCUUCUUCUUCUUAUUCGUCUUGGUUUGAGUUUGUGGUCGAUUGGAAGGGGGUUGUGGAGUCUCGUCCGGGGCGGUUGGGGGGGUUGACAGAAGAGAGUGAGCACACGGCGGCGAUCGCAUCGGCGGGGUGCCAUCGCUGUUGCGUGCUCACCUCUCUCUCUGUCAUCCCGAUAUCUCCGGAUCCGUUUCUUCAUCCGAUGGCGAUCGUGGUGUCUUGGUGUGGAAGUGGUAAAAAGAGUGGUGACGGGAAAAAGGUAAGGGUGCGUUUUGCUGGACAUGCGCGCAGGCUCUUUUUUUAUGUCGGCAGCUCGUCUCUGAGCAGUCUCGUCAUGGGCGGGUUACCGAGGUAGAGAGUAGGAGUGUCGUAUCCGGUUAUGAUGGUGGUCGUGUACUUCUUUCCAUUUCUGGAGGUUUCUAUUUUUCCUGAUACAGCUACGGAAGCAAGAAAUCAAGGAAGAGGAAGACGGUGAGAAAGAAAAAUCUCAUCUUGGUGGAUCUGAGAGUGGAAGCGUGGCUUCUGCGUUGAAGGCGAUUUGCAUCGGGGAGCGAGCUCGGAUGGGUGCAGAGUCAGACGUCUCCUCACUCUCUUUAUCUUCUGCUUUCCGUCUUUAUCUUCUGCCGCUUACUCGGAUUUAUGGAAAUCGCUGUUGACCGGUCGUCGUCGUCCUCUUCUUCUUGUCUGCCUUCCUCGCCUUACCUCGCCUCACUCUCCUACUAAUGCUUCUUUCCUUCCCUUGCUUUUCUUGUCUUUUCAGAUGGAUGAUGAACUGAUCUUUGGAACUCGAAGGCCAGUUCCAUUGGUUACGAUAAUCUCGAGGGUUGCUGCACGCAUGCAUCAAGCAAUCAUUGAGUUGGUUUUCCUGUUGGAAGUCGGAUGAAUCUGUGGAUGCUCCAUAAGGCCUCGGUAAGUCGUCGGACUUCGUUUCGUGGUCGACGUUCUACCUCAUUACUAGUUGAGGAAAGAGUCUCGUCUGCUUUUGGUUAUGCGACGGAGGGCUUUAUUCCUUUGGUCACAGGAAAGCUUUAUCACAUCGGGCAACAAUGGAGCUUCUUAUGGUUUCUUUCUCGGUUAGGGAGUGAAAUUGUGCUUUUAUAUAAUAUCCAACUUGAUGUAUAUUAGUUUACCUAAAUUCCUGUGUUCUGAUGUGGCGAUGUGAAUGGCUAUAGCUAUAGGAAUGGAAUUUAGGAAGAGAAAGUUCAUAAAUUUAGGUCUUUUCUUUGAUCUAUGCCCUAUACAAUGCCAAGAAAAUCUUGUUGACAGAACUGAAUUUUUAGGAACCCACAUAGAACAUAAGAUCAGAUAUUGUUUAUUCAUUGGAAAAUCUGUGUUUGUUUUCCACGGUAUGAAAUUAAAAUGUCUCAUGUUUAACGAGAUUGUCAAGUUUGCUAACAUAAGAUUUGAUUGAUCUGUGGUAAUUUUUUUUAUUAUAAUUAUACUUAUGAGUUUAUGAGGCAUGACUGACCCUUUUCACCCUUUUUACCAUGAAACUUCUGCCAAAUGGACUCUUUAACCACACCAUUUUUGGGGACAAGAAAACAACAAUACAAAAGCUCAAAGAAAGCUAAAUAUUGGUUGAAUGAUUGAUGAAGAAAAAGCAAGUACUGAAUCAUUGAACUUGAAGGGGAAGCAUAUUGAUUGCCUGAUGGACUAUGACAAGGAAUUGUCAGGGGGAAUUUCGGUGGUUAUAAAUCUUUUCAUUAUAGUGGAAAAGACAAUGUCCUACCAUUUAGCUCAUAAUCAUAUGGAUGAAUUGACAUUUUGACCCAAUUCAUUUGUCAUUCCAGCCCUUGUUCUUCUACAGCUAUUUGAUGUGUUUUGUAUGGAAAGACGCUAUAAUGUCGAUGUCCUUCAGAAUCAUUUACUAUUUUAUUAUACUUUCGCUUAUUUACUUUACAUAUUUAUGGUCUUUUUUUUAGUUGCUUCCUAUUGCCUAAAUGCUUGUUUAAGUUUGGUAUCGAUUCAGGAGGUUAUACAGCUCUUCCCUUAAUUGCGAAUAAUUAAGUUGUCUAUGAUGGAUAGAAAUGAAUUGCAUCUUAGUGUUGCUUGUUUUCCUGAACCCUAGUAGAGGACAGGAAUAUAAUUACCUGCAUUUUUCAUGAUUCUAAACACCUUUGUCAGACUACAGAUAUGUUCCUGUCUUUUUGUUCUUACAUUUUUGAGAAAAUAUUCCAUGCUGGCUUUCCAUCCCAAGUUCUUUAAAUUUUCUUUUAUUUUUUCUCUAAGCAGAUAGAAGCACUACCAGUUUUACUGGAUAAAUAUUGUUGCUAUUGUUAAUUCUUGAACAUAUUAUCUUAUCUAUAUUUUGCACAAUUUUCUUCAAAAUCAGUUGUCUGACUAAUUCAGCACCAUUGCUUUCUUGAUCCAGGAUUACUAUAGUUCAAUAACCUGGAAGGACACUUUUAUAACAAAGAUGUUUCUUAAAGUUAGAUUUAAGGCUAACAGGGAUUCAGAAUUUUGAUGACACAUAGAAUAAGUUUUUUAAGAAAGAAUUUACUUCUUCCAUUCAAAUACUACAUAAUGUGUGCACAAGACUCCUACAACCGGACUUGGAUUCCUUACCUUACUACACACAUUUCUCCUUGAACAGUAAACUGUCUCCUUCAAAGACCACACAGUCUAAGUGACUUUGCAAGACAGAUAUCAUCACAUUUUAAGUGAUAAUGUAUUACCAUGAAUGGUGUUUGAUUGGAAGAGACUGUAAGCAAAUGCUAUCUGGGUUGGCAUUUGUUGAAUUGACUUAUUAGUAUACAUUAAAUGUUCCUUAAUGUGCUGACUUCUUAGCUCUUAAGUGGCAUUUACUUUGUUGACCUUUUAUCGAGUCCAUCAUUUAUUCUUUUGCUACAGAAGGUCUAUAUGUGCUAUUUUGAGUGCAACACUGUCAUUUAAUGUGGCUUAGAAAUUGAAAUACAAGAUAUAGAUGGAUUUGUUGGAACUUUCUGAAAGCUUUUGUUCUUCUUGUCUGAAAUCUACUAAGCAAAUACUAUAUCUGAAAUUUAAUAAUUAAAUCCCUUCUUGAUUUGUUUCUCCAUGUCCGGACCGUCAACUAAGCUUUUGUUCUUGUUGUCUAUCUUUCUAUAUAUAUUUCAAAUUAUUGCAAUAUCUCAUAGAAGAUGAGAGCAGAAAGGCCUCCCAUGAGACAUGAGAGUAGAAAAGGAGAUCUAAGUUAAAAAAGAAAGGAAGACCCAAUGCAGAAUGUGGGUUUUGGCAGGGUUAAAUGUUACAAUCUUAUUGUUAUAGACAGAGAGAUCAUUUCCAUGAUUUAUACGUUUACCUGAAUAUAGUAGUCUUUGGUAUGCUCCUAAUUAUCUAGGAAAUAAGCUGGAAAUGCAUCUAAAUCUUACAUGAUUGGAUAAAAUUCGUGAGUACUGAAUGAUUGUGUGCUUUUGAAUGCUAAAAAAUACUUGAUAUGGACAAAUUCAUAACUUGACCAUAUCUUUUACCCGAAGUCCCUUUGUGGAUGAGGGAUGUCUUCAAUUUCAAGUUAUUUUCUUAAGGUCUGUUGUGUGGUGCUUUAGGGUUUUGCACUGCCAUUGGCAUCUUGAUGCUUUUGUCUUAUCAAUUCAUAAAUCUAAUGAAACAGUGGAUUUUUGUGAGCUUUUCUAAUAUAAGAAUAGAUUGUAAUUGUACCAUGUUCAAGAUGUGAGUUUUAUGAUGUGGUUCAUAUUUGGUGAUCAUCUUGAUAUGAGAUAAACAUAAUAAAUCACUUUCAUUUUUGUUAAGUUUAUGUCUAAGGAUUGUAGUAACUCAGCAUCAAGCAAGGAUUCUUUUUUUUUUUUCCUGAUUAUAUACAUAAAUGGUGCAUCGUUCGCUCUUCUUUAUAGCUGCAAACAUCUUCUUUUCCUUUCAUGAGUCCAAAUUGGCAAUCUCCAGGAUUUGAUUGCUGAUUUAAUUCUUGUUGUGGCGCCAAGCUCCGUGAUGAUACAACAAAAUUGUUGCUGUGUAGCAUCUACUGUUGCAAAAAUUACACAUUUGCCAAAGGUAUCAGAAUUAAAUGAAAAAGAAGUUGCAGGAGGAAUUGAUUGUGAUGCUGUCGUUUUGACGGUAGCAAGAGUUUCAUAGCAGAAGAGAGCCAUCUCCAGGAGCAUCCUUCGACAACGUUUCUUCUUGUGAAUCAUUAAGCUGGAUUGGAAAGCUGAAGCAGAAGCCAUCAAGUGGAGAAGGUUUCAUCGGAUGGAUCCUGAAGUGGAACCAAACCUGUGACAGCAAUGUUGUGGCACCACAUUGCUCCCAUGUCAGAAGCGGGUGGAUGGUAUGAUGCGACCGGUCACUGUGACAUGUCUUGGUGAUCUUCUUUCUACAUGUCAACAAUCCCUCAAGAAAAGAUGGGAAAGAAAGCAGAGCAGCUACACAAAACAGAGCAAGAGACUAAGAAAACCGUGGUCCUGAUCUCCAUGGCUUGUGGGGAGUGCAGAGGCAUCAUAAACAUGAAUACCAGACUAGAUGCACUUGAUAGCAACUGCAAGAAUUAAUGUUUCCACAAUCACAAGAGGGAAGGAGACAGAAAUGUCGUCGUGGUCUGUAAUGUUCACAGGCUGCCAUUAAUGGUGCUUCGCCAACGAGUGUGUGUAGGAAAGGGAGGACGAGGAGGGGGGGGGGUCACUGGCCUUUUUGUUCCAAAGUCAGAGCUACCAUGGUGUGAUGAAAGCUUUGCCAUGUCUUCAUUUCAAGCUCUGCUGCGGUCGGAAUCCUCCUCCUGCUUUGACUGUCUUGAUAGCCAAACAGUCAUUUUUUGAGACAGCCAUAUAAAUUCCUCAGCCUCUCGCGUGGAGUCCGUUGCUGCCCCUCUGGAAGAAGUGAAGAGAUAGAAGUCAACUUUAAGCCACCAGAGAAAGGUGGAGAUCAGCAUGAGUCGGUCGAGAGUUGUGAUUCGGGCUAUUAAGAUAGCAAGAGGAAAUCUGUUUCACGGAUACGUGCCAUCAAAGGUGUUUUGACUUUAUCCUCACCACAAGAUUAUUUCUACAUGUGUAAGCAAUACUUUUUUUUCUCUCUUUUGUGCUGCUGAGGCGUUGACAAGUAUUCUAGGGAUGGUUGACUUUUCUUGAUAGAUAAUAUUACCACAUUGACAUAUUAUCGUAUGAACA